GGAAAGAUUUUUCGGUUCGGGAGGGGCUCGCGGCCUAUCAGCUUGUUGGUGAGGUAAUGGCUCACCAAGGCGUCGACGGGUAGCCGGCCUGAGAGGGUGACCGGCCACACUGGGACUGAGACACGGCCCAGACUCCUACGGGAGGCAGCAGUGGGGAAUAUUGCACAAUGGGCGCAAGCCUGAUGCAGCAACGCCGCGUGAGGGAUGACGGCCUUCGGGUUGUAAACCUCUUUUAGUUGGGAAGAAGCCUUCGGGUGACGGUACCUUCAGAAAAAGCACCGGCUAACUACGUGCCAGCAGCCGCGGUAAUACGUAGGGUGCAAGCGUUAUCCGGAAUUAUUGGGCGUAAAGAGCUCGUAGGCGGUUUGUCGCGUCUGCUGUGAAAACUGGAGGCUCAACCUCCAGCCUGCAGUGGGUACGGGCAGACUUGAGUGCGGUAGGGGAGAUUGGAAUUCCUGGUGUAGCGGUGGAAUGCGCAGAUAUCAGGAGGAACACCGAUGGCGAAGGCAGAUCUCUGGGCCGUAACUGACGCUGAGGAGCGAAAGAGUGGGGAGCAAACAGGCUUAGAUACCCUGGUAGUCCACUCCGUAAACGUUGGGAACUAGUUGUGGGGGCCUUUCUACGGUCUCCGUGACGCAGCUAACGCAUUAAGUUCCCCGCCUGGGGAGUACGGCCGCAAGGCUAAAACUCAAAGGAAUUGACGGGGACCCGCACAAGCGGCGGAGCAUGCGGAUUAAUUCGAUGCAACGCGAAGAACCUUACCAAGGCUUGACAUAUACCGGAAACGGCUGGAAACAGUCGCCCCCUUGUGGUCGGUAUACAGGUGGUGCAUGGUUGUCGUCAGCUCGUGUCGUGAGAUGUUGGGUUAAGUCCCGCAACGAGCGCAACCCUCGUUCUAUGUUGCCAGCACGUUAUGGUGGGAACUCAUGGAAUACUGCCGGGGUCAACUCGGAGGAAGGUGGGGAUGACGUCAAAUCAUCAUGCCCCUUAUGUCUUGGGCUUCACGCAUGCUACAAUGGCCGGUACAAUGGGCUGCGAUACCGUGAGGUGGAGCGAAUCCCAAAAAGCCGGUCCCAGUUCGGAUUGUAGUCUGCAACUCGACUACAUGAAGUCGGAGUCGCUAGUAAUCGCAGAUCAG
rnacentral:rRNA from 1 species